rnacentral:rRNA from 1 species
UACGUAGGGGGCGAGCGUUGUCCGGAUUUAUUGGGCGUAAAGAGCUCGUAGGUGGUUCGAUAAGUCGGGUGUGAAAACUCUGGGCUUAACUCAGAGACGCCACCCGAUACUGUCGUGACUUGAGUCUGGUAGGGGAGUGUGGAAUUCCCGGUGUAGCGGUGAAAUGCGCAGAUAUCGGGAGGAACACCAGUGGCGAAGGCGGCACUCUGGGCCAGUACUGACACUGAGGAGCGAAAGCGUGGGUAGCGAACAGGAUUAGAAACCCGAGUAGUCC